rnacentral:rRNA from 1 species
CAGUAGCCGCGGGAAAACAGAGGGUGCAAGCGUUAAUCGGAUUUACUGGGCGUAAAGGGCGCGUAGGUGGUUAUGUAAGUGAGAUGUGAAAUCCCCGGGCUCAACCUGGGAACUGCAUCUUAUACUGCGUAGCUGGAGUGCAGUAGAGGGUAGUGGAAUUUCCGGUGUAGCGGUGAAAUGCGUAGAUAUCGGAAGGAACACCAGUGGCGAAGGCGGCUACCUGGACUGACACUGACACUGAGGCGCGAAAGCGUGGGGAGCAAACAGGAUUAGAUACCCCCGUAGUCCCUGUCUCUUAUAC